AGACACAAAUUGGAUCUGCUUAGUAAAAUAAUGACAUUUCCAUACCACUUAAGUUUUUUACUCUUACAGGUACUCUUAUAAACUACAUUUUCACACAAUUUGCAGGAAUUGUUAUGAUCGAUGAGCAUGGUUGGGGACUCGGGUCGUGGAUAUCUGUUAGAACUUUUGCGGACAAAAACUUAUUACGAUGCAUUAUAUUAUUGAUAAUUAUUAUAAAUUAUUAUAUUGUGUACACUGCUGUUCAAAAGCAGGGACACAUAAAAUUGUUAAAAAGUGAUAGUUAAGACUUUUAAAUUGUGACAAAAAAAUGUAUUUAAAAGUGGGAGGGUGAAGGGCGUCACUACCAGCAUGCCCAGGGCCAUUCUGAAUUUGUGAAUGUCUUUCUCAUUAUAAUAUGUUGUAUGAUACUGUAUUGGGUGAACAUGUACAGGAUUUAAUUUCAUUAUUUGGUCUGAAGAUCAUCGUUGGAUGAGCUGUCACCGCACCACAGGAUAUAUGAGGAUGUAAUUAAUGCUUCUUGCGCUCUUCUGGCAGCCACGUGUGGAAGAAGCUGAAUCAGAAGCUCUUAGCAAAGGGGCUUUUGACGCCUGCAUAGAGUGGCUGAGGGACAAUGAAUUUAUACACAUACAGAAGGAGGGAGAUGUGGAGAGGUACUUUCCCACAUAUCACCCACAGAAGCCCUGGGGAUUUUUGCAGAUCUCCAGAGGGCAAUGAAGCUGCAUGAUGAACUCAUCUAUGAAGUUGCACAUGAAGAUGUCAUGCAGGUGGAACAGAUUGUGACGCAAAAGAUUGAGAGUUGUUAAAUUGUGUGUAAAGCUUCAAGAUGUGUCCAUAUAGAACAAAGAACUUGUGUGCAAAUCUUGAAAUGAAAAUAUUUCUAUACAAUGUAUUUAAACAUUUGUGUAGAUAGGAUGUCAAUGCAUUAAAAAGAUAAGCAUCAGACAUUUUUUCAGUUUCACCUUUUCAUUUAUUUCAGAAACACGUUUAAUUUUUAUUCAGUUUGUGAAUUUUAAAUAAAAAACAAUAUUUGUAAAUACAAUCAAUUAUUUUGUUACUUGUCAAAGGAUAACCAUUCUUUUUAUGACAGGAAAGUACGGACAGUGCCUUUGACCAGUCCUCUACAUAUGGGGCACUUGCGUAAAGAAGGUGCACACUCUUUGCAUACCACUAGGUGACCACAGGGGAUAAAGACAAUAUUGACCUCUUUGUCCAUGCACACUUUGCAUGUGCGCUCUUCUUGAAGUCUUCUCAACUGUUCUUCCAUAGGCAAGUCUGUGAAAAUGAUGGACAGUCAAUAAC